rnacentral:lncRNA from 1 species
UUUUGUUAUUUAUUUAUCGAGGUAUUCAUUUAUAUUUUGUUAUUUUUAUAUGCAUAAUCACGACAAAAAGCCACGACUCCGCGUGCACUAUGUCACCUCCCUCUGUUAAGCCCCUAUUCCCUCACUCAUUCAUUCAAACUAGAUGACACCCCGCACGUUGUUGCGGGAACUGUUGUAGGAAAAAUGGGAUAUGUUAGACAAAUGAAAUAUAAAUAAUUUGGAUACGCUUUCAGCCAUAUCGUUUCUUGGCUAAAUUAAAACCAUUUCAUGAGAUUGAACAAUGCAGAACUGGCUAGAAAAAAUACAUAACAUUUCCUUUAAAAAAUAUUAACAUUAGUGGUUUCAGUUCCCACUAGCAAAAUAUCGUGGCCCUGACAAACAUUUGUGCAUCGAAUUGCCCACAAAGAAUAAAAAAAUAUAGCACAAAUCAAAUUGGCAUUGGAGAUUUGCUUCAGAUGUGGUAAUGAUUCUUCUUAUGUGCCCGCAUCAUAACUCACUACUUAUCGUCAUGGUGAAGAAAACAAACAAUCACCUCCAUUAAUAGGAACUGAGUGCUGGCACUUGAAAAGUGGGAAAAAUAAUAGUGUGUAAGAGUUGAUGACAGCGAGAACAUAAAUUGCCAAUUCAGUUUGUCCCAUAAUUUCUGCACAUAAAAAGCCGAACCACUCCUACAUUUAGUGAAGGCAACAUUAUACAACAAUUAGCAUGAAAAAAAAUCAUGAUGAAAUAAAAUGGUGAUGCAAUUUUGACUUUAUAAGGCAAGACCAUUCAAGGGAGAAAUCUUUUGAACAUAGCACGAUGAUGAUCUUUUGGUCAAUAACUGAACAUGACAAUUCAUAAGCAUAUUAUGCAUUCAAUAUUCUAUUCUAGAUAAUAUUUUAAGUCUGAAAUAUCCAUGGUUUGGGAAGUCAGGAUGACCUGUUCCAAAACAAAGGCAUGUACGUAAACCGAACAAAUAUGAAAAUGAAGAGAGAAUGGUGAAGUAUAUAUCUUACUGAUUCCGCAAAGGUGAACAUAAUUAGAUUAAAGGUGUUGAACUGAAGUAGUUAUAUAAGGGUCAAAGGAUAAAAAUCAAUAAGGAAAAUUAAAGGAGGGCAUGUGCUUAUGUAUAUAGAAUUGAAUGAAGAUUUGCUUCAGAGGUGGUAAUGAUUCUUCUUAGUUGCCCACCCCAUAGUACUAUUUUAAGGCCAUGCAAGACUAAUGAGAGUUGAAUGAAAGAAAUAGGCUGACCGUCCUUCGACUAUUUUUGUAUCAUCUUCCUUCAACUGCUCAGACCAAUACUUGUCAGCACUUUUGGGUGUGCAUAUAUGCGGAAGUAACUCACAACAUUAAAACAUGAGAAUGACUGGAAGCGAACUAAUCCAGACAAAAGCUUUCUGUACCCCGUAAUUCAGACCAAAGUAACCUGCGAAUAUCAAGAUAUUUUGAUUAUUCUGAAAUAUGUUCAGAACACAUCAGUAAUUAAAAAUAGAAGAUGUAUUGCACAUCAAAGAAGAUUAUGGAUAUCAUACCAUCAAAAGAGAUUUAUGCAUUUUGUAAGACAAUUUCUUCAGAGGUCUCCUUUAGCAAGGGACGAGAUAGAGUCUGUGCAGAUUAUGUAACCGUACCAACAAAAUGGCUCAGCAAGAGUCACCUUUAGUGGAUGGUCACAAAGAAAUUCAGUAACAUUAGUGAUUCAACCUGCUAAAGAAAAUAAGGUCAAUAACAAAUAUGCAUCUUGAAAGUAGUAUUUGGUAUCUCGGGUGUACCUAUAUAUGUUCUUUAGUCUUGACUGCUAGCGUCUCCUCUCAUCUCAGCAGAUCAUAAUGCAGUUGUCUCGAAAAACUAUUUGAAGCAGCAGCUCUCCUCCUCCUGACCGUCUCUACACUUCCGUUGGCUGCUGCUACUACUUUUCAUGAAGUUAACACAAUGUUUAAUAAAUAAAUAGAAAUUUCAUGAAUUUACAAAAACCAGCGGACUAAGGAUUGCUAUGCCGGGAAAAAUUAACAAAACCUAUUUUUUCUUUUGAUUUUGCAGUGUUUUUGCUGUUUUAUUUGAUCUUUUUAUUUAUUUUUACUUGGUUAUUUUUCUUUUUCUCCUAUUGUAUUUAUUUAAUAUAUAAAAUAAUGAGUGAAUUCCGGUUUUUACCCCCUAUUUUGCCAUUUUUGACACUAAUUACCCCGUUUAGUGGGAUUUUAUCCAUUUUACCCCAUUUAGCAAAAGUGUUACCUCAAUUUACCCCGUGGUGAACAUAUGUGGACCAGCGAAGAAUAAGUAUAUGUUUCCUGAGCUACUCUAGUGCAAUCAUAUCGAGCCUAGCUUAUCAGAAGAAGCUAGGGCGGUGCGGUUCGGCGUGCAGAAAAAGCAUCAAGAAAAAACCUGUCGGUGUGGCAUCUAGCUAGACCUUACAAUUGGGACCCAUCGGUCAGAACACUCAUAAAUUUUAAACAUGGUGAACUGUGGCAACACUUUUGCUAAAUAAUAUAAAAUGGAUGAAAUUCUGCUAAAUAGGGUAAUUGGUGUCAAAAAUGUCAAAAUAGAGGGUAAAAACCAGAAUUCACUCUAAAAAUAUUCUAAACUAUUCUGGUUCAAUUUUUUGAUUCAAUGAAACUGAUCCAUGUUGAUUAAACGAAACUGAUGCAUAUGCAAUGAUACACAUGGAUGCUGAUUAAACAAAACGGAUGCAUAUCAAUCUUCGUAUGGGUGCGCGGACCUUUUUCUUUUCGAUUGCCUAGCAACUUAAUAAUUGAUUGAUGCAUCUCAAUCUUGGUAUCACGGCGACCAAAACCGUGGAUUCCUUGCCCUUCACUCCAUCAGAUCGCCACCGGCCAACAUUCCUCGCUCAUGUCUAGUCUUCUUUCCUCUGCCUCCGCCUCCACGGACUCCUCCUUAGAUAUAAUUAAACCAAACUGCCCGCCCCAUGGUGGCCCCCAUCCUUGUCGGCAUGAAAUCCAAUGCUACGUGCUGAGCAAGUAGUCAUCCCUCCCUGGUGGCGAGCUCGGCGCCAUGUGUGGAUGACGCCGUAGGUAUGCGCAUACCAGGAGCACAAGACCAUGUCAAGGAGUGGAGAGGGGUUCUAUAUGGAAUGUUGUGUUGGCCAGAGACCAACAAACACAUGUCACAUGAUCACAUAACCCCUACCCACCCUAAAUCAUUGGUUCAGUGGCCAGAACGCCAACUGACCAUAGCUCAAUGUCUGGACCAUGUCAAGGCACAUGGAGAGAGAAGGGAGACUAGGGACUCACCAGAACUGACUCGCUAUCUGGAUCAGCUUGAAAGUUGACUACACGAGGAUUGUAUCAGCUUCCCUCCUUGAUACUCUGACUUCCAGGGUUGUUUUUCCCCUUUAGCUCUCGUCAUAAUCAAAGAAACAACGAUGUUAGAUCUCUCUCAAAUGAACAUAACAAAAGACAGAAAAAUAUAGUUUGUGUUCAGCGGAGAUAAAGAUUAUCCACCACUCAUAUAGCUGGUGAGGAUAUAAUAGCAGCGAGCUACUCCACAACAGCUUAAGCAAUCGUAAUAUUAACCAAACCACAAACAAAACCUAUGUUCUGGAACACAUUCAUCAUCACCUAAGAAAUAACAAAUUGCACAACACCUACACUACUCAUGCGUGGGUAAAGUAUCAAAUAUCUUCAUCUAGUCUAAGUAGAUAGUACCAAGGGUUAUUUAGCAAGCCUAUGUAAAGAGUUGCAAUUCCCAAAUUCCGGCAUCAAGAGAUAUGCCCAUAACAAUCACAUCCAUUUGUUAAACAUAUAUAAUAUCAUGACUAAAGGCUCUAAUUAUUAAUAGGAGCAUUAAUAUUGACCCUAGGUAAAUGUGGAGCGAUACAAAAGCAGCUACAUAUCAUCCAAUGGCCUAGAAUUGUCAACAUCGAACGAAAACAUGCCAUCCUAUUCAAACUGGCUAAUUACAAGUAGGGAAAAUCAUAUCUAGCAGACUAUCAUCACCAAAAUCAUAAGCAGGACAGUGCACCAUGACAAUAUCAUAAUCAUGACUUUCAAAAGGUUAGGAUAACUAAACAACAUGCAUCUUGACUAAUAUGUUUUUUCAUAGAAGUUACAGCCUUACCAAGCCACUCAGCCGAUUUGAAACAACACGACAUUGGUGGCCCAUGGAGGUCCCUGCUGGCAGUCGCCGCGGGGUGAUGGGAAUUCAGAUCGGCUCCGACGUGAUCUGCAUGUCGGAACCAAACUUCAUCGUCGAUGUCGGCAUCUGUGUUGCUGGCUCAACUGGUCACCUUUCCCAGACCAAAGACUACGCUUCGCGUCAAAUCGUCAUGAUCAGGCGGGUGCCUUCAUCAUCAACUCCGAUCCUAGCCGAAGUCAUAGAGGAAUUCGUCCAUGGAGCUUGGGGGCUCAACGUCAACAUUGCCCUCAUGUGAUCAUGCCGUUUUUGUUGAACAAUGGAUUGUGUUCACCUUCUCCGCCUCCUCGAGUGUCGCUUUGAUGAUUGCUUCGGUGAAAUUGUGUGGAAUUGAGUCUACAACAACCUUGUAAAAUUUCCUCGCGUUCCUAUGGAGGAAUCUCCGGCAAUCUCCGACAUACCGGAGCCCUAUCGAAUCUGGACGGGAAUCUGGAUGACUUUGUGGCGAGGAGUCUAGCGUCCAUCCCGGACAUCCAUUGGAAAAUCCAACUGUUCAUCGGUUGCGCAAUUCCUAUGUUGACCACCACUCAAAUUUCAGCUUGGUCUGACCGUUCAAACUCUAGGGAACGUCCGAGUAGUAAAUCAAUUCUCUGAUAUGUUUUCUGCGCGCAAACAAAUCUGACCCGAGUUCAUCUUUUCAUGAACGGGUUAUCGGACAUCCUUUUUGAAUGAAAUUGCUACUGCUAGUAGACGCAUGCCUACGGCCUCGUCCACACACGGCGCAGAGCUCGCUAGCACAGAGGGACGGCGGCCUGCUCACCGCGUAGCAUUGGAUUUGAUGCCGCCAAGGAUGGGGGCCUUCAAGCUGUGGGCAGUUUGGUUUAAUUAGGCGAAGGCAGAGCAGAGGAAAGAAGACUAGACAAAAGUGAGGGAGGUCGGGAGGUGGUGUUUUGAGGGAGUGAAGGGCGAGGCGUCCAUGGCUUGGUCGCCGUGAUACCAAGAUUGAGAUGCUUCAAUCAAUUAUUAAGCUAGCAAGCAAACGGAAAGAAAAAGGUAUGCAUCAGUUUCGUUUUUAUUAGUUUUGCCUUUUCUUUAUUUCCCUCUUUUCCUUUUUUUUCCUUUCCUGUCUUAGUUCUUUCAUAAUUUUUUUGUUUUGACUUAUUAUCCUUUUUCAUUUAGAAAAUGAACAACAUGACUUUUUUAUCAUAUGAUUUACAUAUUUUAAUCACCUGAUGAAUUUUUUUAACACAUGAUGAAUGUUUUUUGAUAUACAAUGGCUAUUUUCUUAAAUACAGAUAAUUUUUUAAGUGUAUAUUCUGUUUUAUAUGAUUUCUUUUCAAAAUUAUGUGAAUUGUUUUAUAAGCAUGGCUACUUUAACAAUCACAUGUACAUUUUCUAAAAUACAUAAACACUCUUUGUAAAUUCAAGAUUUUUUUCUAAAGAUUUAUUUAGAAACUAAAUGAAUUUUUUUCUAAAUAGGUGAAUUGGUUUCAUAGUAUAAGAAAAAUUUAUUUAGAAUAGUUUUUUCGUGAGUAAGCAUUUUUUUUGUUUACACAAACUAUUUUGUCAAAUGUGCAGAAAGAAAAUUUGAACAAGAAUACUUUAGAAAUACUAUAUAUGUAAGAGGAGAAAAAGUAAAACAACCAAGUGGAAAUAUAUAAAAAGAACAAAAAAGGGCAAAAGCACUGGAAAAUCACAAAUAUAGGAGUCUAGCUGCAUGGGUUACUUGAUAUCAUGUUUAUUUAACAUUUUUUUACUCUACCUUGUAGCUUGCAUCAAAACACACUAAUGUCCUUAUCCAUUUUUUAUUUCGUCAAGUAUUCAUUUCACAUUUAAGAUGAGGGGGACUGAAUCAGUAGCCAUUGCUAGCUAAAUAAUAGGCGGCAGAACCGUGUUAUUAGGCCAACCUUCUUGAGAGACUCUUUUAUCAGACGUUGCUGUCGGGCGCCAAAUGAUAUAUAUCGCUUGUACCGGGCAUUACCUAGAGCUUGCCUGCAGAACCGUCUUGAUUUAUUUUAUUAUUUUUGGCUUUUUGUUUAUUCCCCUUUUGCUGUUCUUCUUUUUCUAUUUUUUCUGUUUCUUUAUUUUUCUGUUGAUUUUCUUUUUUUACUUUUUUUACUUUUUCAUUUAGAGAAUUAAUAUUAGACAUGACUUUUUAAUCACACGGUUAUGGUCACGUAGCACGGUUUUAUAAUAACGGAUUCCUAAAUGUGAGCCAAUAAUAGUAACGAUACAAUUUGUAUAUAGAAAGUAAACCCUGGCCACUCCAUGGCAUAUUCAUCAUGGAACCUACAAAGGACGCAUAUAAACUCCAUUUUUUUCCCUUUUUGCUUUCGUGUAGGAGGCGCAUGACUCCAUGGAUGACCAGCCAUCAUUUUUUCUGUGACGUUGACCGUCACUAACAAUUACGAUGAUGCAUUUGACCGGUCAACUAUUCUGGCAUGAAGACCCAAUGAGAUGCUGACAUGGCUGCUACCAAGUGGGUCCAGACGUGGGUAAUUUGGCUUCUUACAUGUGGAUCCAAUGCCAUACGCGGGCGACGGCAUGCAUACCUAUCCCAAUUUGUAGAUGCGGUCAAUUUAUUAUAUAUUGCAAUUGGCGGGCAUAUUUGAAAAUUUAAUCAUUUUUAUAAUUCGUAUAUGAAUUUGUGCGAGAUUUCAAUUUUAAUGCCAAGUCAGCAAUCUUUACUCGAUUAAAUGACAGACAAUUAUCACACAGACUUUCUGAACCAUUACAAUAAAAAACCAUGGGACAGAGCCACACAAUAAAAUUAGGCACAUGGCGCAUUUUCAUGACCAUCAAACAAUGCACUAGUAUGAUGGGGUUUGUUUGCUCAGCUAUAGACAUGGGAUCCUGGCGUCGCAAUCGUGGCGAUGUACUUAAGCGUCCUAUCAAGAUCAUUAAGCUUCUUUCGAUAGCUAAAGUUUUCUCUUUCUUAGCAUUCUUGAUGACUUCAAGUUCUCCCUUCUGGUUGCGCCAACCUCGGUUUGUGUCAGCGGUGGCCGCCCGGUGGCGCGAGGCGCGUGAUGCCCCCCAUCGCGCCCUUUCGGCCCUUGACUCCUGACACUUUUGUGCUAAGCGGUCCCGGCAAUUCAUGAAAGGAUGGGGUGCAAAUGUGGGCCGUGACAUUCGCGAGCGUAAGAAAGCCCUUCUUGAGGCCAUCCAGGCCCUCGAUCUGCGGGCUGAUGCCGCAGGCCUCUCUGCUGAGGAGUGGAUGCUUAGGUACGACCUGGAAGACUAGCUCACGGUCAUCUACACGGACGAGGAGGCCUACUGGCGCUUGCGAGGUACGCAGAAUUGGGUCCUCAAGGGGGAUGCCAAUACCGCCUACUUCCAGGCCAUUGCCAACGGUCGUCGUCGCCGUAAUUCCAUCCCGCUUCUCUGGGACGGCGAGACCCUCCUGCAGCGGCCAGAGGACAUCCGGGCCCAUGUAGUCGGCUUUGACAGAGACCUAUUCUCUGCCGCCCCUCGGGGAGGUCUUGCCCUGGCGCAAGACAUCUGGCCGGCCCACAGUUGUGUCUCUCCUGCGGACAAAGCGGCCCUUACGGCCCCGUUCUCUAAGGCUGAAGUGUGGGCGACAAUUAAGGGUAUGAACCCUUCUUCGGCCCCCGGUCCGGAUGGCCUCCCAGUGAAGUUCUUCCAGACUUUCUGGGAGGUAAUAAAACCGGAGGUGAUGGCCUUGUCUGAGGAAUUCUUUGUAGGGUCCAUUGACCUCGCCAGGCUGGACUUUGGGAUCAUCACCCUCAUCCCCAAAGUAACUGGGGCUUCGGAUAUUCGCCAGUUUCGGCCGAUUACGGUGAUUAAUGUCAUCUUCCGCAUCCUCGCGAAGGGGUACGCCCUUAGGGUGGCCCCCAUUGCCGACGGGAUCACUCACCCUGAUCAGUCGGCAUUUAUUCAGGGCCGGUAUAUCCUUGACGGAGUUCUGGUUUUUCACGAAGCACUCCAUGAGGUUCACUCCAAACACCUCAAGGCAGUCUUCCUGAAACUGGAUUUCCACAAGGCGUAUGACACGGUCAGUUGGCCCUUCCUUCGGGAAUGCUUGCUGCGGAAGGGCUUCAACGACAGGUGGGUCUCCCGAGUGAUGCAAUGGUAUCCUCAGGCCGGACCGCGGUGAACAUUAAUGGCGAGGUUGGCCCAUUCUUCCCCACAUCCUGUGGGAUGUGCCAGGGCGACCCCUUCUCACCGUUCCUCUUCAACAUGGUUGUCGAUGCUCUGGCAGCCAUCUUAGAUAAAGCCAAGGCUGCGGGCCACAUUAAGGGCAUAGUCCCGCAUCUAGUUGGGGGGGAACGGGAUCUCCCUCCUCCAAUAUGCGGAUGACACCAUUAUCAUGGUGGAAGGCUCGGCGACCGACAUCAUGAACUUGAAGUUCCUCCUGAUAAGCUUCCAGCAGAUGUCUGGCCUCAGGAUCAACUUCGAUAAGAGUGUGGUAAUGGUCUUGGGAUACUCCCAAGACGAACGGCAGAGCAUCACGGAUCGGCUCAAUUGCCAGCUUGGGUGUUUCCCCACGACCUAUCUGGGGAUCCCCAUUAGUGAUUUGAGGUUCACGGUGGCUGAGCUUCGCCCCAUAGUUGGGAAGCUUCAACACCGCAUCGAGGCUUGGCAGGGCCGAUGUCUCUCGAAGGCGGCCCCGACAGUGCUUAUUAACUCGUCCCUGGCCAUCCUUCUCUUAUUCAUCAUGAGCUUCUACAGCCUUCCUGAGACUCUGAUCACGAGAUUGCCAUAGUUCAGGGGUGCUUCUUCUGGGCCGGCGAGGGCGACAAGUAGAAAUACAACAUGGUUCGUUGGUCGGAGAUUUGUAAACCGCGCUAUCAGGGUGGUCUCGGGAUCAUGUCCUCCAAAUGCAUGAACAUUGCCCUCCUAACGAGAUGGUUGUGGCGGAUUGCCAACGGACAGGGUGGCCUGUGGCUUCACCUCAUUCAGCAGAAAUACCUCCGUGGCCAGCCUCUCACCUUCUGCCAGUGGUCUGGAGGUUCCUAGUUCUGGCAAUCCAUCAUACAGCUCCUACCGAUCCUCCGCAUCGGCACCUUGAUCGCGGUUGGAUCGGGCACCUCCACGAUGUUCUGGUUCCAUAGAUGGGCUGGAGACUUACCCCUCGCGGCACGUUUUCCCUACCUAUUCUCCAUCGCGGUUGACCCGCGGAUCUCUGUCGCGACGACCCUUAUUGACUUAGGGCAACUCGCGUUCCGGAGAGCGUUUGGCCUGCCUGAGAACGCGGACUGGCAUGAUCUGCUGGAAUGCAUCGCGCUGCACGAGCCUGAUCUUGAGGUAGGAGAAGACCGUGCCAGGUGGCGUCUAGAGCCAUCUGAGCAAUUCUCCACCAAAUCUCUAUACCAGGCCAUCACACCUUCGCUGGGUCAUGAGGUACACACCACCAUCUGGGAUAUACGGCUCCCCUUGAAGAUUAGGAUUUUCUUGUGACAGUGGAUUCGCGGCUGCCUCCCAUCCGGCGUGGAGGUCCUGAUGCGCAACGUCCCAGGGGAUGGGCGAUGCCCGCUCUGCGGGCCUGAAGAGGAUUUGAACCAUAUCUUCUUCACAUGCGUGUCCGCGCAGUUCCUAUGGAGCUGUUUCCGUGAAAUAGUGGGUGGAAGCAGGGACCACAACAACUUCCCCGCUCUUUUCGCGGAACUCCAGGCGUCAGCUCCCUCAAUUCGCCACAUUAGGUGGCUGAUCAUCGGGGUGCUAACCUGGACGAUGUGGACUGUUAGGAAUAAACUUUUGAUUCAGCGCAUUCCUUUUCGACGUGCUACUGACGCUUUGUUCAAAUGGUCUGGUUAGUUGCAGUUUUGGCAGCCGCUUAGCCGUCCCCGGGAGAUAGACGCCAUCACCUCCAUCAUCAUCCAGCUUCGCUCGAUGGCUCUCCUUAUGGCUCCACCGCUUCCCCCACCAGCGCCAGAGCCGGAUUAGAUCUUCUACACCUCGCCACCGCCGUUAUGUUUGUUGUGUGUGUCUUGCGCCGAUGUUGGGCUUGUUGUGCUGUGCCCACAGCUGAACUUGGGUUUCAACUGUGUGUGUGUGUUCGUCGGAACUGCCUGCGGUGGCUGUGUGUGUGUUUUUGUGGUCGGAACCUUGUUAACUUUGUGCUCGGUGGUUGCUUUUUUUAUAAAGAGGGGAGAAAGCCUUUUUCGGUAAGGGAAGUGUUGAUAGAGUCAAGAUGAUUAUGCAGAUCUAACAGGGCCAUUAUUAGGCAUUCCAUUUGGUCUUGCCGCUCUGGCAGAGCCUUCUUGACACCUUCAAGUAUGUUUUUGCUAGUGUAAAAGUGUACGUAAUCUUCACAUAUUGAAGUUCAUGCUACGCACCUGGCACGACAUGCUUCAUGUUCUUGCUGCUGCUCUUCUAGGUCCAUCUUGACAGCUUCAAGUGCUAGUUGUUGCUCUGCUAGGGCCUUCUUAACGGCUCCAAGUUCUAUUUUCUGCUCACCUAGGGCCUUCUUCAUAGCAUGAAGUUCCUACUGCUGUACAACCAAUGUGUGCUCGACUGCUUCUUUUGCUUCAUGGUGCACCACCACCACAUUGUUGAUAGCUUCAGGUUACUGUUUCUGGACCCCAAUACUUGCAAGAAAGUCAUCAUUUGAGAAUCCUUGCUUUCCUACAAAAUAAUAUAUACGGAGGUUACAACAUAUGGAUGAAUUCCAAAAUAUAUAUGCACAUGCCGCAAUACACAGAGGUAGGGUAAAUAAAGAUAAUUACAUGUAAAUUUUAUAAAACAUGUGAACAUUCUUAGGAAAAAAGAAAAUCAUUUUCUAAAUACAUGAGUAUCUAUUAUAAAUUAUAUGGAUAUUUGUCUAGAUAGUUCAUGAAUCAUUUUUGAAAGUACAAUAAUUUUUUAUUUAGGAUAGUCAAACACUUUCUAAAUUCAAUUAAAUAUUUUUAAAUGAGUGGGCACUUAUUUUUUUACCGGAACUAUUUUUUCAACAACAACAACAAAGCCUUUUGUCCCAAACAAGUUGGGGUAGGCUAGAGGUGAAACCCAUAAGAUUUCGCAACCAACUCAUGGCUCUGGCACAUGGAUAGCAAGUUUCCACGCACCCCUGUCCAUAGCUAGCUCUUUGGUGAUACUCCAAUCCUUCAGGUCUCUCUUAACAGACUCCUCCCAUGUCAAAUUUGGUCUACCCCGCCCUCUGUUAACAUUCUCCGCAUGCUUUGGCCGUCCGCUAUUCACGGGAGCUUCUGGAGGCCUGCGCUGAAUAUGCCCAAACCAUCUCAGACGAUGUUGGACAAGCUUCUCUUCAAUUGGUGCUACCCCAACUCUAUCUCGUAUAUCAUCAUUCCGGACUCUCGAUCCUUCCUCGUGUGGCCACACAUCCAUCACAACAUACGCAUCUCCGCCACACCUAACUGUUGAACAUGUCGCCUUUUAGUCGGCCAACACUCAGCGCCAUACAACAUUCCGGGUCAAACCGCUGUCCUGCAGAACUUGCCUUUUAGCUUUUGUGGUACUCUCUUGUCACAGAGAAUGCCAGAAGCUUGGCGCCACUUCAUCCAUCCGGCUUUGAUUCGAUGGUUCACACCUUCAUCAAUACCCCCAUCCUCCUACAACAUGGACCCCAAAUACCGAAAGGUGUCCUUCUGGGGUACCACCUGGCCAUCAAGGCUAACCUCCUCCUUCUCACACCUAGUAGUACUGAAAUCGCACAUCAUAUACUCGGUUUUAGUUCUACUAAGCCUAAACCCUUUCAAUUCCAAGGUUUGUCUCCAUAACUCUAACUCCUAUUUACCCCCGUCCGACUAUCGUCAACUAGCACCACAUCAUCCACAAAGAGCAUACACCACGGGAUAUCUCCUUGCAUAUCCCUUGUGACCUCAUCCAUCACCAAUGAAAAAAGAUAAGGGCUCAAAGCUGACCCCUAAUGCAGUCCUAUCUUAAUCGGGAAGUCAUCAGUGUCGACAUCACUUGUUCGAACACUUGUCACAACAUUAUCAUACAUGUCCUUGAUGAGGGUAAUGUACUUUGCUGGGACUUUGUAUUUCUCCAAGGCCCACCACAUGACAUUCCGCGGUAUCUUAUCAUAGGCCUUCUCCAAGUCAAUGAACACCAUAUGCAAGUCCUUCUUUUGCUCCAUAUAUCUCUCCAUAAGUUGUCGUACCAAGAAAAUGGCUUCCAUGGUCGACCUCUGAUACGUCCAUUUUGCAUGAUGCUUUUAUAUCGAUAUUUAUUGCAUUAUGGGUUGUUAUUACACAUUAUGUCACAAUACUUAUGCCUAUUCUCUCUCAUUUUACAAGGUUUACAUGAAGAGGGAGAAUGCCGGCAGCUGGAAUUCUGGGCUGGAAAAGGAGCAAAUAUUAGUGACCUAUUUUGCAUAGCUCCAAAAGUCCUGAAACUUCACGGAGGCACGUUUUGAAAUAUAUAAAAAAUACUGGAGAAAGAAUCAACCAGAGGGGGCCCACACCCUGGCCACGAGGGUGGGGGCGCGCCCCCUGCCUCGUGGGCCCCCUGGAUGCAGGUUUCGGAGUUCUUCAUCAAGCACUCGGCCCUCACGUGGUGAAAGGAUCCACUCUCCUAGACUAGUACAGUCGUGUCGUCGCACAAGCCGAGCAGCUCAUCUAACGUGCACCGGAAGGCGUCGUCUUCAUCAUCUGCAGCGCAAGUGCCUUCUUGGACUUCGCCGUCGAGUUUGCCGGGCAAGAACCCCUGCGCCACCACAGCGUCAUGGAGCACGGGAAAAUCUUGAAGCAUGUCGUCGGUGAAGAACCCGCAGCUCCGGGCUUCCGUCGUCCACAGCUCCGGGCGGCAAGAACGUCUUGCCUUCGUCGGACAUGAACCAGCGCCCAUACUCGUGAAACAUCCCGGCUUGUUGGACGAUCGGCGGUUCCUGGCGGCGUGGGGUUUGGGGACGUGGAGCAAUUAGCAAGACACCUUUUGUGCCAUGACAAUGACAUACAUCAAAGCUCAUCUAACGUGCACCGGAAGGCGUCGUCUUCAUCAUCUGCAGCGCUAGUGCCUUCUUGGACUUCGCCGUCGAGUUUGCCGGGCAAGAACCCCUGCGCCACCACAGCGUCAUGGAGCUCGGAAAAAUCUUGAAGCAUGUCGUCGGUGAAGAACCCGCCUGGAUCCACGCUGCCGUCGUCCACAGCUCCGGGCGGCAAGAACGUCUCGCCUUCGUCGGACAUGAACCAGCGCCCAUACUCGUGAAACAUCCCGGCUUGUUGGACGAUCGGCGGUUCCUGGCGGCGUGGGGUUUGGGGACGUGGAGCAUCCGGGUGCUGGACGUCGGCGGCCUUCCUUUUCCUGGAACCGGGAGCAUUGAUUACCUCGUGGUAUGUGGUCUCGCUCCUGUGACGAGACACGCAGACCUUGCAGAGCACCAAGCCGUCUUGCUUGUCAUCGCUGUACUCGUUCAUGCACCAGCCGAUCCUGAUCCUCUCUUUCUCUCCCGGCAACUUCUUGACGUAGCUGAGGUUUCGUCUAUGGCCUACGAGUUUACCUUGGUUGUCUAGCACGGGGAUCCCACCCUUCUCCGAGUGCCAGUAGUAACCCUCGCCGGCGUCGGCCACGCCACGCUGUCGCCUCCCGCCACCGCGGCCGGCUUUGGUCUGGUGAUGACGGGCAGGGGUGAAGAAGUACCAGACGCCCCCUUUCCCGUCGCCCUUGUCCGUUCCUUGCGCGUGUUGAUACAUCUCGACGAGGUCGCCGGGGGCGGCGGAGUAGGCGUCGAACUCGUGGAUGAGGCGGCUGGCGAAGAAGGCGUCGGCGAUCCGUGGGCGGAGGAACUUGGUGAUCAGCUCGUGCUCGGCUGGGUCGAAGGCGUAGCCGGCGGGAGGAUCCAGCUUGCCGUCGGCCAUCGCAGAGCUAGCUACGCACGUACGAGAUGGAUCAAGUAGCUAGGUAUGUACGUGUAACCCUGAACUCGCUAGCUGCUUGCCAUCUGGGUACCUAGCUUAUAUAGAUGGAUCGACAGCGAGCCCGCCCGGGAUUCAGUUUCCUUGACCGGUCAUACGUACGUGUCCUAAGCAAUCCGUACAUGAAAUGGAUUAGUACAGCAAUCCGUACAUAAAAUGGACUAGUGCAGCACGCCCCAUGAUGCUCCGUCGCUGCACCGACCUUGCUCCAUUGCAGCUCGCGUCGCUGCACCUUGCCGCUCGGUAAUACUCAGCAUGCUUCGACGGACAUGGUGAUGCUACGAGGCGUGCUACAUCGACCGCCGCGAUGGCGCAACGUCAUCCGGGCUGCUUUGAUGAAGCUGCGACAGCCGCGGCGUUGACAUUUCGACAUGCUUCAAACACCCAUGUUGUGCUUUGACGGCCACGACAAUGUUGGGGAACGUAGCAGAAAUUCAAAAUUUUCUACGCAUCACCAAGAUCAAUCUAUGAAGUAAUCUAGCAACGAGGGGAAGGGGAGUGCAUCUACAUACCAUUGUAGAUCGUGAUGUGGAAGCGUUGCAAGCACGCGGAUGAAGGAGUCGUACUCGUAGCGAUUCAGAUCGCGGUUGAUUCCGAUCUAAGCACCGAAGAACGGUGCCUCCGCGUUCAACACACGUGCAGCCCGGUGACGUCUCCCACGCCUUGAUCCAGCAAGGAGAGAGGGAGAGGUUGGGGAAGACUCCAUCCAGCAGCAGCACGACGGCGUGGUGGUGAUGGAGGAGUGUGGCAAUCCCGCAGGGCUUCGCCAAGCACCGCGGGAGAGGAGGGAGAGAGGUAGGGCUGCGCCAAGAGAGACCGGAAAACUCAUGUGUUGGGCAGCCCUAGACCUCAACUAUAUAUAGGGGGAGGAGGGGGCUGCGCCCCCUCUAGGGUUCCCACCCCAAGGGGUGGCGGCCAGCCCUAGAUCCCAUCUAGGGGGGCGGCCAAGGGGAGGAGAGGGGGGGGCGCCACUAGGCUGGGCCUUAAGGCCCAUCUGGACCUAGGGUUUGCCCCCUCCCACUCUCCCAUGCGCCUUGGGCCUUGGUGGGGGGCGCACCAGCCCACCUCGUGCUGGCCCCCUCCCACACUUGGCUCACGCAGCCUUCUGGGGCUGGUGGCCCCACUUGGUGGACCCCCGGGACCCUCCUGGUGGUCCCGCUACAUUACCGAUAUCACCUGAAACUUUUCCGGUGACCAAAACAGGACUUCCCAUAUAUAAAUCUUUACCUCCGGACCAUUCCGGAACUCUUCGCGACGUCCGGGAUCUCAUCCGGGACUCCGAACAACAUUCGGUAACCACGUACAUCUAUUCCCUAUAACCCUAGCUUCUUCGAACCUUAAGCGUGUAGACCCUACGGGUUCGGGAACCAUGCAGACAUGACCGAGAUGUUCUCCGGUCAAUAACCAACAGCGGGAUCUGGAUACCCAUGUUGGCUCCCACAUGUUCCACGAUGAUCUCAUCGGAUGAACCACGAUGUCGGGGAUUCAAUCAAUCCCCUAUUCAAUUCCCUUUGUCCAUCGGCAUGUUAUUUGCCCGAGAUUCGAUCGUCGGUAUCCCGAUACCUUGUUCAAUCUCGUUACCGGCAAGUCUCUUUACUCGUUCCGUAACUCACAUCAUCCCGUGAUCAACUCCUUGGUCACAUUGUGCACAUUAUGAUGAUGUCCUACCGAGGGGGCCCAGAGAUACCUCUCCGUUUACACGGAGUGACAAAUCCCAGUCUCCAUUCGUGCCAACCCAACAGACACUUUCGGAGAUACCUGUAGUGCACCUUUAUAGCCACCCAGUUACGUUGUGACGUUUGGUACACCCAAGGCAUUCCUACGGUAACCGGGAGUUGCACAAUCUCAUGGUCUAAGGAACUGAUACUUGACAUUAGAAAAAGCUCUGAGCAAACGAACUACACGAUCUUGUGCUAGGCUUAGGAUUGGGUCUCGUCCAUCACAUCAUUCUCCUAAUGAUGUGAUCCCGUUAUCAACGACAUCCAAUGUCCAUGGUCAGGAAACCGUAACCAUCUAUUGAUCAACGAGCUAGUCAACUAGAGGCUUACCAGGGACAUGGUGUUGUCUAUGUAUCCACACAUGUAUCUGAGUUUCCUAUCAAUACAAUUCUAGCAUGGAUAAUAAACGAUUAUCAUGAACUAGGAAAUAUAAUAAUAACCAAUUUAUUAUUGCCUCUAGGGCAUAUUUCUAACCGUCUCCCACUUGCACUAGAGUCAAUAAUCUAGUUCACAUCACCAUGUGAUUAACACUCACAGGUCACAUCUUCAUGUGACCAACAUCCAAAGAGUUCACUAGAGUCAACAAUCUAGUUCACAUCACUAUGUGAUUAAUACUCAAUGAGUUCUGGUUUGAUCAUGUUAUGCUUGUGAGAGAGGUUAUUAGUCAACGGCUCUGAACCUUUCAGAUCCGUGUGUGCUUUACGAAUAUCUAUGUCAUCUUGUGGAUGCUACCACGCGCUAUUCGGAGCCAUUUCAAAUAACUGCUCUACUAUACGAAUCCGGUUUACUACUCAGAGUCAUCCGGAUUAGUGUCAAAGUUCGCAUCGACGUAACCCUUUACGACGAACUCCUUUUCACCUCCAUAAUCGAGAAAAUUCCUUAGUCUACUAGAUACUAAGGAUAAGUUCGACCGCUGUCAUGUGAUCCAUUCCCGGAUCACUAUUGUACCCCUUGAACAACUCAUGGAAAGACACACUUCACGUGCGGUACACAACAUAGCAUACUGUAGAGCCUACGUCUGAAGCAUAGGGGACGACCUUCGUCCUUUCUCUCUCUUCUGCUGUGGUCAGGUCUUGAGUCUUACUCAAUACUCACACCUUGUAACACAGCCAAGAACUCCUUUGCUGAUCUAUUUUGAACUCUUUCAAAAUCAUGUCAAGAUGUGCGUUCUUUGAAAGUAUCAUCGGGCGUCUUGAUCUAUCUCUAUGGAUCUUGAUGCCCAAUAUGUAAGCAGCUUUAUCCAGGUCUUCCUUUAAAAAACUCCUUUCAAACAACCCUUUAUGCUUUCCAGAAAUUUUACAGCAUUUCGGAUCAACAAUAUGUCAUUCUCAUAUACUUAUCAGAAAUGUUGUAGCGCUCCCACUCACUUUAUUGGAAAUACAAGUUUCUCAUAAACUUUGUACAAACCCAAAGACUUUGAUCAUCUCAUCAAAGCGUACAUUCCAACUCCGAGAUGCUUACUCCAGUCCUUAGAAGGAUUGCUGGAGCUUUGCAUACUUGUUAGCAUCUUUCAGGAUUGACAAAACCCUUCUGGUUGUAUCACAUACAAUCUUUCCUCAAGAAAAUCUUCGAGGAAACAAUGUUUUGGCAUCCUAUCUGCAAGACUGCUAAUACAAUCCCAACAGACUUUUAGCAUCGCUACGAGUGAGAAAGUCUCAUCGCAGUCAACUCCUUGAAUUUGUCGGAAAACAUCUUAACGACAAGCCGAGCUUUCUUAAUGGUGACACUUACCAUUACUGUCUGUCUUCCUUUUAAAAUCCAUCUGCACCCAACAGCCUUACGACCAUCAAGCACAUGGAUCCUCUCUCGGAUUUUAUGGCCUCGAGCCAUUCGUCGGAAUAUGGGCCCACCAUCGCUUCUCCAUAGCUCGUAGGUUCAUUGUUGUCUAGCAACAUGACUUCCAAGACAGGAUCACGUACCACUCUGAAGUAGUACGCAUCCUCGUCGUCCUACGAGGUUUGGUAGUGACUUGAUCCGAAGUUUCAUGAUCACUAUCAUAAGCUUCCACUUCAAUUGGUGUAGGUGCCACAGGAACAACUUCUUGUGCCCUGCUACACACUAGUUGAAGUGACGGUUCAAUAACCUCAUCAAGUCUCCACCAUCCUCCCACUCAAUUCUUUCGAGAGAAACUUUUCCUCAAGAAAGGACCCGUUUCUAUAAGCAAUUACUUUUGCUUCCAGAUCUGAAAUAGGAGGUAUGCCCAACUGUUUGGGUAUUCUAUGAAGAUGCAUUUAUCCGCUUUGGGUUCGAGCUUAUCAGCCUGAAACUUUUUCACAUAAGCAUCGCAGCCCCAAACUUUUAAGAAACGACAACUUAGGUUUCUCUAAACGGUGUCGUCACAACGGAAUUGCGUGGUGCCCCUUUUAAAGUGAAUGCGGUUGUCUCUAAUGCCUAACCCAUGAACGAUAGUGGUAAUUCGAUAAGAGACAUCAUGAUAUGCACCAUAUCCAAUAGGGUGCAGUUAUGAUGUUCAGACACACCAUCACACUGUGGUUUUCCAGGCGGUAUUAAUUGUGAAACACUUUCCACAAUGUCUUAAUUGUGUGCCAAACUCGUAACUCAGAUAUUCAUCUCUAUGACCAUAUCAUAGACAUUUUAUCCUUCUUGUCACGACGAUCUUUAACUUCACUCUGAAUUUACUUGAACCUUUCAAUAAUUCAGACUUGUGUUUCAUCAAGUAAAUACACUCAGUAUCUACUCAAAUCAUCUGUGAAGUAAGAACAUAACGAUAUCCACUGCAUGCCUCAGCACUCAUUGGACUGCAUACAUCAAAAUGUAUUACUUCCAACAAGUUGCUCUCUUGUUCCAUCUUACUUAAAACGGGGACUUUCAGUCAUCUUGCCUAUGUGGUAUGAUUUGCAUGUCUCAAGUGAUUCAAAAUCAAGUGAGUCCAAACGAUCCAUCUGCAUGGAGUUUCUUCAUGCAUAUAUACAAAUAGGCAUGGUUCGCAUGUCUCAAUCUUUUCAAAAACGAGUGAGUCCAAAGAUCCAUCUUCAUGGAGCUUCUUCAUGCGUUUUAUACCAAUAUGACUCAAGUGGCAGUGCCACAAGUAUGUGGUACUAUCAUUACUAUCUUAUAUCUUUUGGCAUGAACAUGUGUAUCACUACGAUCGAGAUUCAUUUUAGGUGCAAGACCAUUGAAGGUAUUAUUCAAAUAAACAGAGUAACCAUUAUUCUCCUUAAAUGAAUAAUCGUAUUCCGAUAAACAUAAUCCAAUCAUGCUUAACGCAAACACCAAAUCACGAUGGUAGAGGGAGCAUGCGAUGCUUGAUCACAUCAACCUUGGAAACACUUCCAACACAUAUCGUCAUCUCACCUUUAGCUAGUCUCCGUUUAUUCCGCAGCUUUUAUUUCGAGUUACUAACACUUAGCAACCGAACCGGUAUCUAAUACCCUGGUGCUGCUAGGAGUACUAGUAAAGUACACAUUCAUAUAAUGUAUAUCCAAUAUACUUCUGUCGACCUUGCCUGCCUUCUCAUCUACCAAGUAUCUAGGGUAGUUCCGCUUCAGUGACCGUUCCCCUCAUUACACAAGCACUUAGUCUCGGGUUUGGGUUCAACCUUCGGAUUCUUCACUAGAGCAGCAAAUGACUUGUUGUUUCAUGAAGUAUCCCUUUUGCCCUUGCCCUUCUUAAACUAGUGGUUUUACUAACCAUCAACAAUUGAUGCUCCUUCUUGAUUUCUACUUUCGCGGUGUCAAACAUCGCGAAUAGCUCAAGGAUGAUCAUAACUAUCCCUGAUAUGUUAUAGUUCAUCACGAAGCUCUACUAGCUUGGCGGCAGUGACUAUGGAGAACCAUCACUAUCUCAUCUGGGAGAUUAACUCCCACUCGAUUCAAGCGAUUGUGGUACUCAGACAAUCUGAGCACAUGCUCAACGAUUGAGCUUUUCUCCCUUAGUUUGCAGGCUUAAGAAACUUGUCAGAGGUCUCAUAUCUCUUGACGUGGGCACUAGUCUGAAAUCCCAAUUUCAGUCUUCGGAACAUCUCAUAUGUUCUGCGACGUUUCAAAAACCAUCUUUGGUGCCACAAUUCUAAACCGUUAGCAAUACGCACUGAACUAUCACGUAGUCAUCAAAACGUGUAUGUCAGAUGUUUUCGCAACAUCUACAGACGACGCUGAGGUUCAGCACACCGAGCGGUGCAUUAAGGACAUAAGCCUUCUGUGCAGCAAUGAGGACAAUCCUCAGUUUACGGACCCAGUCCGCGUAUGCUACUACCAACUUUCAACUAAAUUUCCUCUAGGAACGUAUCUUAAACAGUAGAACUAAAGCGCAAGCUAUGACAUAAUUUGCAAAGACCUUUUGACUAUGUUCAUGAUAAUGAAGUUCAUCUGAUUAUUUAAUGAACUCCCACUCAGAUAGACAUCCCUCUAGUCAUCUAAGUGAUACAUGAUCCGAGUCAAACUAGGCCGUGUCCGAUCAUCACGUGAGACGGACUAGUCAUCAUCGGUGAACAUCUCCAUGUUGAUCGUAUCUACUAUACGAUUCAUGUUCGACCUUUCGGUCUCUUGUGUUCCGAGGCCAUGUCUAUACAUGCUAGGCUCGUCAAGUCAACCUAAGUGUUUCGCAUGUGUUCCGAGGCCAUGUCUGUACAUGCUAGGCUCGUCAACACCCGUUGUAUUCGAACGUUAGAAUCUAUCACACCCGAUCAUCACGUGGUGCUUCGAAACAACAAACCUUCGCAACGGUGCACAGUUAGGGGGAACACGUCUCUUGAAAUUUUAGUGAGGGAUCAUCUUACUUACUACCGUCGUUCUAAGCAAAUAAGAUGCAAAACAUGAUAAACAUCACAUGCAAAUCAUAAAGUGACGUGAUAUGGCCAAUAUCAUCUUGCGCCUUUGAUCUCCAUCUUUGAGGCGCGGCAUGAUCACCUUCAUCACCGGCAUGACACCAUGAUCUCCAUCAUCAUGAUCUCCAUCAUCGUGUCUUCAUGAAGUUGUCUCGCCAACUAUUACUUCUACUACUAUGGCUAACGGUUAGCAAUAAAGUAAAGUAAUUACAUGGCGUUUGUCAUUGACACGCAGGUCAUACAAUAAAUUAAGACAACUCCUAUGGCUCCUGCCGGUUGUCAUACUCAUCGACAUGCAAGUCGUGAUUCCUAUUACAAGAAUAUGAUCAAUCUCAUACAUCACAUAUAUCAUUCAUCACAUCUUCUGGCCAUAUCACAUCACAUAGCACAUGCUGCAAAAACAAGUUAGACGUCCUCUAAUUGUUGUUGCAAGUUUUUACGUGGCUUGUAUAGGUUUCUAGCAAGAACGUUUCUUACCUACGUAAGACCACAACGUGAUAUGCCAAUUUCUAUUUACCCUUCAUAAGGACCCUUUUCAUCGAAUCCGUUCCGACUAAAGUGGGAGAGACAGACACCCGCUAGCCACCUUAUGCAACUAGUGCAUGUCAGUCGGUGGAACCUGUCUCACGUAAGCGUACGUGUAAGGUCGAUCCGGGCCGCUUCAUCCCACAAUACCGCCGAAACAAGAUAAGACUAGUAGUGGCAAGAAGAAUUGGCAACAUUGACGCCCACAACUACUUUGUAUUCUACUCGUGCAUAGAAACUACGCAUAGACGUAGCUCAUGAUGCCACUGUUGGAGAACGUAGCAGAAAUUCAAAAUUUUCUACGCAUCACCAAGAUCAAUCUAUGGAGUAAUCUAGCAACGAGGGGAAGGGGAGUGCAUCUACAUACCAUUGUAGAUCGCGAUGCGGAAGCGUUGCAAGAACGCGGAUGAAGGGGUCGUACUCGUAGCGAUUCAGAUCGCGGUUGAUUCCGAUCUAAGCACCGAAGAACGGUGCCUCCGCGUUCAACACACGUGCAGCCCGGUGACGUCUCCCACGCCUUGAUCCAGCAAGGAGAGAGGGAGAGGUUGGGGAAGAAUCCAUCCAGCAGCAGCACGACGGCGUGGUGGUGAUGGAGGAGCGUGGCAAUCCCGCAGGGCUUCGCCAAGCACCGCGGGAGAGGAGGAGGGAGAGAGGUAGGGCUGCGCCAAGAGAGACCGGAAAACUCAUGUGUUGGGCAGCCCUAGACCUCAACUAUAUAUAGGGGGAGGAGGGGCCUGCGCCCCCUCUAGGGUUCCCACCCCAAGGGGUGGCGGCCAGCCCUUGAUCCCAUCUAGGGGGGCGGCCAAGGGGAGGAGAGGGGGGCGCCACUAGGGUGGGCCUUAAGGCCCAUCUGGACCUAGGGUUUGCCCCCUCCCACUCUCCCAUGCGCCUUGGGCCUUGGUGGGGGGGCGCACCAGCCCACCUGGGGCAGGCCCCCUCCCACACUUGGCUCACGCAGCCUUCUGGGGCUGGUGGCCCCACUUGGUGGACCCCCGGGACCCUCCCGGUGGUCCCGCUACAUUACCGAUAUCACCCGAAACUUUUCCGGUGACCAAAACAGGACUUCCCAUAUAUAAAUCUUUACCUCCGGACCAUUCCGGAACUCCUCGUGACGUCCGGGAUCUCAUCCGGGACUCCGAACAACAUUCGGUAACCACGUACAUCUAUUCCCUAUAACCCUAGCGUCAUCGAACCUUAAGCGUGUAGACCCUACGGGUUCGGGAACCAUGCAGACAUGACCGAGACGUUCUCCGGUCAAUAACCAACAGCGGGAUCUGGAUACCCAUGUUGGCUCCCACGUGUUCCACGAUGAUCUCAUCGGAUGAACCACGAUGUCGGGGAUUCAAUCAAUCCCGUAUUCAAUUCCCUUUGUCUAUCGGCAUGUUACUUGCCUGAGAUUUGAUCGUCGGUAUCCCGAUACCUUGUUCAAUCUCGUUACCGGCAAGUCUCUUUACUCGUUCCGAAACUCACAUCAUCUCGUGAUCAACUCCUUGGUCACAUUGUGCACAUUAUGAUGAUGUCCUACCGAGUGGGCCCAGAGAUACCUCUCCGUUUACACGGAGUGACAAAUCCCAGUUUCCAUUCGUGCCAACCCAACAGACACUUUCGGAGAUACCUGUAGUGCACCUUUAUAGCCACCCAGUUACGUUGUGACGUUUGGUACACCCAAGGCAUUCCUACGGUAUCCGGGAGUUGCACAAUCUCAUGGUCUAAGGAACUGAUACUUGACAUUAGAAAAAGCUCUGAGCAAACAAACUACACGAACUUGUGCUAGGCUUAGGAUUGGGUCUCGUCCAUCACAUCAUUCUCCUAAUGAUGUGAUCCCGUUAUCAACGACAUCCAAUGUCCAUGGUCAGGAAACCGUAACCAUCUAUUGAUCAACGAGCUAGUCAACUAGAGGCUUACCAGGGACAUGGUGUUGUCUAUGUAUCCACACAUGUAUCUGAGUUUCCUAUCAAUACAAUUCUAGCAUGGAUAAUAAACGAUUAUCAUGAACAAGGAAAUAUAAUAGUAACCAAUUUAUUAUUGCCUCUAGGGCAUAUUUCUAACAGACAAUGCUUCAACGGCAGACUUCGACGGUCGCGGUGAUGCUACGGGACGUGCUUCGACGACCAUGGCAAUGGUGCGGCAACAUGCUUCUAACGUCGGUGUUGUACUUGGAUGGCAGCGAUGAUGUUGUGACGACAUGGUUGGACAGCCACGACGUCCUGAUUCGACAACCAUGAUGAUGUUGCGGCAACGUGUUCCACGGCCACGAAACUGUUGCAAUGAUGGACAUGGCUGCACAACGAUAAUGCAACGACUGCAGCGGUGCGGCAAUGGUGACCCGGCUGCUUCGAUGAUGCUACGAUGGCAUGCGUCGAAGAAGGUGGUGGCGUCAAUGGUGCUACUCUAAACAUUAGCAACCUUCACUUUACCACAAUCAGCAUCGAGAAAGAUGGUGUUCUAGUAUUUGUACCAUCACAUGUGUAGUUACCUAGCAAAAUCACUGCAUAUGGAGUACGUUAAAAAAGAUCAUUUAAAUAGGCAGUCGUCCGGACGCUACCACAUGUCACGAACUUUGGAUACUUUUGCGUGUGGAAGACAGAGCAUUUGCUACCUUCCUGUGUGGGAGAUAGUGCUUGCGCCACACGAUCAUGUGGGAUCGGAGGGCUCCGGACGUGAUUGAUAAAGACAAGAAAUCAUCCGACUUAUUUAAAACAUUUUCCCUCGCUGAAUGCUCACCUUUUACUCGCAAUGGCCACUUGUCGGUUAGCCUGGUUGACGCAUUUCUGUUUGUUUGUGACUUUGCAGUGUUUUUGCUGCUUUAUUUGUUCUUUUAUAUAUUUUUACUGGCCUUUCUUAUUUUAUCAACUUAUGAUUAUUUUAUUAUAUUAUAAAAAAUAUGUCUGUUUUAUUCUAGGUAAUCCUUUUUAUUUGCACUAUUGACAGAAAUAGUUCGUAUUAAAAAGGUCCUUACUCAUUUCAAAAUAUAUAAUGCAUUUGAAAUUUGUUUAUACAUUCUAAAUAUAAUGUUCUUGUACUUUUGAAUAUGAUUUACCUAUUUGGAAAAAUAUUCAUUUAGUUCGUAAAAAAAUCUUUUAUUCAAAACGAAAUUACAUGUAUUCGCAAAGAGUGUUCACGUAUUUCUAAAAAUGUCCAUGUAAUUAUUAAAGUAUUCUCACAUUUAAAAAUAUAUUCACAUAUGUUUGGAAAAUAAUCCUUUACGACAUAAAAUAGAAAAUACACUGGAAAUUUUAUAUCGCGUAUUUAAAAAAAUACUCAUCAUAUAUUAAAUAAAUUUCAUUGUGUUAAAAAAUAUUCAUCAUUUAUUUAAAAUACAUACGUUGUGUUUUUAAAAGGUCAUGUGUAAUGUUAUUUGCUAAUUGCAUAAGUUAAAUAAGUAAGAAGAAAAUCACAGAAAAUAAAGAAAGAGAAAAAUGUGGGGAAAGAACAACAAAUAAUAGGGAAAUGAAAAAAAGAGGCAAAGAUAAUUAAAAGAAUUCAAGAAAAAAAUUGAUAAAAACACCCACAAGAAACUAGUUGAAAACAAGAAAAAAAGAUAAUAUCAUGAACAAAAAUCAGGCAGAAACACGAAGAAGAGAGCCAUGUGUUCAACGAACCUAAAAGUAAUCAGCACAUCGCAUGUGGUGUUCUGCAGGCGAGCUCUAACUAAGAGCAUCUCCACCCGCCCCCCAGGACGUCCCCCAGGACACCUUUUUAGGCUCGGUUUUACGCUCGGACCACCUUUUUGCCGAAAUACGGCCCAGCAAUGCCCCCAGCGCCCCCACAGGACAUCAAAAUAGCGCCGGCAAAUCCAGGAAAAACGCAGCACAUUGGGGGGCUUUUGGGGGCGUCGACAGAAGUUUCGGCGAAUCGUGUCUCACCACAUGUCUUUUUUCUUGGCCCACAUAAUCAUUUUCCUCACAAACAUUUGACUGGGGUGGGGUGUGGCUGAGAAGAUGCCCUCCUCAUGCACCCAUAUUUCGGCCGGAUGAAGCAUUUGGACCCCCAAGACACCUACUUUUUUGGUUCGGUGGUGUUUUUGGGUGCUCCAACGGCUGGAGAUGCUCUAAUACUUGGUACAAUCGAUAUAUAUAUUAUUUGCCGCCCGGAAGCACGUCUAGUAAAAGAGUUUCUCAAGAAGGUUGGGCGAAUGUGUCAUAGCCCACCCUGAGAUCUCCCAACCUUCUAUAUAUAUUAUAGAAAAAAGUAAAAAAAGACAUGUUUUUUUUGAAUAAAACCCCAUACAUUAAUUAAUUAAUAAUGUUAUUACAAUCAUUCAUUACAAAAUUCGCCACACAGGGCGGAACGCUAUUAAGAAGAAUCCCAUCAGAUUUACUUAUAAAGCUAAACUUCGCAAUUUCAUGAGCCACCUUAUUGGCGUUCCGAUUAAUUUUCGCAAUUUUAAAAUUCUUAAGCAUCUUCGAUAUACUCAAGGCUUCUUUCUUCAGAUCAACGAGCGAGGACCUGUCCAGAUUCUCAUUUGCAAGGAAAGAACGGACAAAAGCACAACCAGUCUCCAAAAUAAUGGACUGGUGAAGAGUAAUACCUAUAUAAUGGCCUGCCAGGCAAGCACGCAGCUCAGCUUCAUUCACACUGUAGCACUGACCCAGAAAGUCCCACGAAGAUAUAAUAACUUCGCCAGAUUUGUUCCUAACAACCACCCCCACACUGGCCGCAGUAAUACUCUCCACAUAGCUGGCAUCGACAGUGAUCUUGAUAUAAUCUUCUGGUGGAGGUUUCCAACCCACCUGUUGUUGUGAUGUUGCGAAAACUGGUGUUGCACCUCCCAUUUUUUCUUUACCUUUGUUACUAGGAACAACCUCGACAGUGUCAUGACAGGACGUAAAAGAAGACCAAUAGUUUACCACAAAAAUUGCAGAAGCAGCAAUGGAUUCCUGCCCUUUUCCAAAAAUUAAAUCAUUUCUCAUGUGCCAUGCUCGCCAGAAAAGAAACAAAACUUGCUCUCGCUGUUGCAGGCUCAAAUGAUCCAACAGAAUCAAUAGCCAAUCUGGCCCCGAGAAUUUGAACCACUCUUCAUCAGGAAUAUUCCAUGAUUCUCUCAAGGCAAGUCGCAGAGCACGAGCCUUAGAACAAGUAACGAGGGCAUGAAAAGUGCUUUCAUCUUCUACUCCACAAAUAGAGCACAUACCUGAAGUAAUCUGAUGGUGCUUAACUUUAUUGGUCUGGACUGCCAAGCUAUUGGUUGCGGCCCUCCAGGCAAAAAUCCUUAUCUUCUGAGGGAUAUUAGCCUUCCAAAUUAAAUUUGAGAGCCUUCUUUCUCCACAUGGAUCUCCACUAGAUUGACCCAAUUUAUCUUGACUAUCCUUCAACUUAAUUGCUAAAUUGUACGCACUUUUAACAGAAAAUAUACCGUUCUUCUCAUAGUGCCACACAAUAAAAUCCCCAUCCCCAUAAGCAUGAAUACUAAUCUUAAGAAUCUCCUCUGCGUCAUGGGGAUAGAAAAGCUACUUAAUCAAAUUUUCAUCCCAUACCUUUCUCCCGCUCAAGAACAAAUCAGAGACCCAUCUCAAUCUAGUAUUAUGCCUUUUAGCAGAAAUUUUAAGGCCAGUGCUCCUCGAUAACCAAUUAUCCCUCCAAAUAUUAAUACUAGAUCCAUCACCCACCCGCCAAAUGGCGUCAUUUUGAAGUAAUUCCAGACCAUGCAUAAUACCUUGCCAAGUGAGUGAUGCAGACUGAGGAAACACUGUAUCAAGAAUAUGUCCCUGAGGAUAAUACUUUGCCUUCAUAUGCUUAGCACACAAUGAAUCCAGAUAAACCAAUAACCUCCACGCUUGUUUGGCUAAGAGGGCUUGGUUAAAUAAUCUGAGCUCCUGAAAUCCCAUACCACCCUUACCUUUAGACCUUAUUAAUUUGUCCCAUGCUAACCAAUGUGUUUUUCUUCGAUCUUCCUCAUCUCCCCACCAAAAAUUCCUGAUAAUCUGGGUUAAGUCCUCACAAAGGGAAGUCGGGAACUUAAAAAUACCCAUAGCAUGCACAGGUAGAGCUUGAAUAACUGAUUUUAUUAAGUCUUCUUUCACCCCACAAGAGCGUAUUUCUCUAUCCAGUCAGAGAGCCUUUUCAAAACCUUCUCUUUAGUAGAUUGAAACUUACCAGCUUUCAUUCUUCCCUCAGGAACCGGAAGUCCAAGAUAUUUAUCUUCGAACCCAUCGACCGUAAUUUUUAAGAUUACCAUUAUAGCCACUUGAUUCUCCAAACUACACUUUUUCCCAAACAUCAUGGAACACUUAUCAGGACAGAAUAACUGCCCAGUCCCUUUCUCAUACUCCGUCAAAAUAUUUUUAAUGACAACUGCUUGAUCAAUGGAGCCUUUGAAAAUUAACAUACUGUCGUCCGCAAACAGCAAGUGAGAAAUACCUGGGGCUUGUCUAUUCAAAUGGAACUCCUGAAGAACUCCCCUGGUAGAAGCAUCUUUAAGCAGUAAAGAAAGUGCCUCGGCAACAAAUAGGAACAAAUACGCGGAUAAAGGAUCUCCCUGCCUGAGCCCCCGAGAAGGUGAAAACGUCUCCAACAAUUGUCCGUUGAAGCGCACCGCAAAUUUCACUGAUGUAACACAUGCCAUAAUCCAAUUUAUCCACGUCGGUGCAAAACCCAAAGCCCCCAUCAUACAUUGUAAGAAACGCCAGUCCACCCUAUCAAAGGCUUUCGCCAAGUCCAACUUAUAUGCGCAAAAUUCCCCUCUGAAAUCUUUCAGCGUACUUAACGAAUGCAUACAUUCAAAAGCUAUGAGAGCAUUCUCAGAAAUUAACCUUCCCAGAAUAAACGCAUUUUGAGUAGGCGAAAUCAUACCAUCAAGGAGCCGUCGCACUCUGUUAACAAGGCAUUUGGAAAUAAUCUUAUAGGUAACAUUGCACAAACUGAUCGGCCUGAACUCUUUAAUAGACUGAGGAUUCUUAACUUUUGGGAUGAGAACAAUAGUUGUGUUAUUAAUCCCCUCUGGCAUAAUUCCAUAAUUAAAAAACUGUUGGACAGCCUUAACAAUAUCCUAAUUGAUCUAACCCAAUUUCGUUGGAAAAACCUUGCAGGAAAACCAUCCAGACCCGGAGCUUUUAACGGUUCCAUUUGAAAAAGCGCAACACUAAUCUCUUGUUCAAAAAAUGGUUUGCAAAGCUCAUCAUUCAUAUCAUCAGAUACAAGGGGUUUGACCAACGACAUAAUAUGUGACGGGUCAACGGAGUCGUCAACAGAAUAAAGAUUUUUAAAGAACGAGUUUGUUAUACCUUUCAUUUCCUCCAGAUUUUCCGUGAGACCCCCAUCAUCCUUCCUUAGUGCCGCACUUUGCUCUCCAUGAAGCCGUUCUCUGAAAAUAAUUAGUAUUACGAUCUCCUCCUCUUAUCUUAUCCAAACGAGAUCUUUGCUUCCAUAGCAUCUCUUCCUUUAUAAGAAGCUCAUCCAUCUCUUGAAGAAUUUUCUUCCUUUCCAUCACUGCGGAAUGAUCAUUCCUACUAAACAACACAUUUAGUCUUUUACGAGCCCACUCCAGUUUCUUUGGUAAAUAACCAAUAUGGACCCGACUCCACCCAUGAAGAGAUUUCAUUAAUUUGUCUAACUUAUUAGCAAUAUCUUCAAGAUCAUUAAUAUUAGACUCUCUAUUCCAGCAAGCACUAAUCAGGUCGUCCAAAGCUCCACCUUCCCUCUCCCAAUAAGAUUCAUAUUUCAACUGAUUAACAAAUCUACCCACCCGGUGAGUACCCAAAAUCUCAACAAAAAUGGGACAAUGAUCAGACCUGGAGCUUAUUAUAUGGGAUACCUUACAUCGAGGGAACAUUGAAGACCAAAGCGGGCAUGCCACCGCACGAUCAAGACGCACCUUGACAUUCUUGUUUCCAUCUUGUUUGUUAUUAUACGUCCAAGGCACGCCAUGGUAACCCAAGUCAUAUAAAUUGCAAUCAGACAAAGCUUCACGAAAAUUAGCCAUUAGUCUAGUAGACCUCUUAUGACGAGAGUAGUGCUCUUCUUGCCACAUAGCUUCGUUAAAAUCCCCCACCAUAAACCAAGCUCCAACACCAAGAGGUUUAAUCCGUCUCAAGAGAUCCCAGAUAACAUACCUUUGACUCGCCUUAGGGUCACCGUAAAUGAAGGUGCACCUCCACUUUGUUCCCUCUCCCUUGUCGACGUACAAAUCAGUAAAGUGGUCACCAUAUUUGUUCAGCUCACAAGAGUACGCCUCAUCCCAAAACACAGCUAGUCCACCACCUUUACCAUGGCCAGAAACAGUAAAAACAUUAUUCAUACCCAACCUAUAGCGCAAGCUCUCAACAUACACUUUAUUCUUUCUUGUUUCAGAUAAAAAGAUAAUAUUGGGUCUGUGCGUCUUUGAGAGGCACACCAACUCUUGAACUGUACGAGGUUGACCCAAGCCUCAGACAGUUCAAGAGUUGGUGUGCCUCUCAAAGACAUGUUUGACCCAAAAAUCAUACGAAAAGAUAGUUAUUGGCAACCUUGGCCUAAAAACAUGGAUCUGUCAUGGUUUAUUAAGCUAGCAAUGCCUACUGACACAGUCAGUCUAUUAUUAAGCAUAAAGUAAAUACUUGACUAAUUAAAAAUUGGAUAAUGCCAUCAGUGUGUUUUGACGCAAACUAGAAAAUAGAGUAAUUUUAAAAUUAAAUAUACAUGUAUCAAGUAACUGGUGCAGCUAGACUCGCAUGAUCUAGAUAAACAUUUAUUUUGUAACCCUAUCCUGUAAUUAAUUAAAAAAAACAUUUGCUAAGGAUUACAGAAAUUCUUGUGCACAAACGGUUGAAUUCUUUUUAUGUUUCUAUCGAUAUUUUAUUUAAUGUUGUUUUAUCCAUCUCUUUGAUGUUUUUAUUUUUAUUUUUAAAUUCUUAUUUUGUUAUUUAUUUAUCGAAGUAUUUUUUAUAUUUUGUUAUUUCUUUAUAUGUAUCAUCAAGACAAAAAGCUACGACUCCGUAUGCGCUUGGUCACUUUCCUCUGUUGAGCCCAUAUUCCCUCACUCAUUCACUCAAAUGUGUUAGUUAAUCAGCCAUUUUUACAUGUGUUAAGUCUUACGGGAAAAAACAAACAAGUACAUGUGUUAAGUCUUAGGAAAAAAAACAAGUGUACAUGAUGGCCACUAGAGAGUAGAGACUGGACACUAGAGCAGCAUAUAUACUAGCCACACUCCGUAGGCUCCAUCCGCUCGCCGUCAGCCAAAUAGGCUCGCCCUCGCCUCCUCUUCUCUUCUCUCAUCUCUUCCUUGCCUCCUCACAAUGCUCGCCAAAUGCUCACCAUUCACCUGCAAUGCAUCCACUGUGUGUCACCCUAGUUAACGCAAUGUUUCAUAAAUAAAAGGAAAUUUCAUGAAUUUACAAAAUCAGCGGACCAAGGAUUGCCAUGACAGGAAAAAUUAACAAAAACUAUUUUUUUUCUUCUGAUUUUCAGUGUUUUUGCUGUUUUAUUUGAUCUUUUAUUUAUUUUUAGUUGGUUAUUUUUUGCUUUUCUCCUCUAGUGUUUAUUUUAUAUAUAAAAUAAUCAGUGAAUUCCGGUUUUUACCCUCUAUUUUGACAUUUUUCCACUAAUUACCCCAUCUAGUGGGAUUUAUCCAUUUUACCCCAUUUAGCAGAAGCGUUACCACAAUUUACCCCGUGGUGGCAAAUAUGUGGACCACUACAGAGUGACUAUAUGUUUCCUGAGCUGCUCUGGUGCGAUCAUAGCGAGCCUAACCUGUCGGAAGAAGCUAGCUAGGGCGAUGCAGUUCGGCGUGCAGAAAAAGCAUCAAGAAAAAACUAGCCGAUGUGGCAUCCAAGUAGGUCUUACAAUUGGGACCCGUCGGUCAGAACACUCAUAAAUUUUAAACAGGGUAAACUGUGGCAACACUUUUGUAAAUAGGGUAAAAUAGAUGAAAUUCCGCUAAAUAGGGUAGUUAGUGUAAAAAUGUCAAAACAGAGGGUAAAAACAAGAAUUCACUCUAAAAAAUCUAAGCUAUUCUGGGUCACUUUUUGAUUAACGAAACUGAUCCAUGUUUAUUAAACGAAAUUGAUGCAUAUGCCGUGAUACGCAUGCAUGCUGAUUAAACAAAACUGAUGCAUUUCAAUCUUCGUAUGGGUGCGCGGACCUUUUUCUUUCCAUUUGCCUCGCAGCUUAAUAAUUGAUUGAUGCAUCUCAAUCUUGGUAUCAUGGCGACCAAAACCAUGAAUUCCUUGCCCUUCACCCCCCUCACUAAAGGUGUUGCCUCCACAUAUGCGAGGGCCACUUUGCUAGUUGAAGAAAAUAGUGACGGAGAUUAAAAAAAACCAAUUCGAGAGCUUGUAUUUUUGAAAAUUCUUCAGUUCGUAUCAAUUGCUCUUGGCAACAAUUCCACUUUCCCUGCUCUCCUCUGUUAUGGUCGCAAAGAAAGGGUGCUGAUGCGAAGCUAGAGCAUAGAUGCCUGUACGUUUUAAGAAAAAGGGUUUCCCCCGCUUUAUAGAUAAAGCAUUACCGAACAACCGAAUCCUGCCGAUACAAACACACACACACACCACACCCAAGGCCAGAUACAAGGACGCUGAUAACAGCAACACUACCCCGACAAAAUCCUAGCCAACAUCAGAUGAACACAAUAAGUACUACUACGAAGAUGUCGGGGCCCUCAACCGUGGGCGGGCCACCGCGAAGAGGAGAAGUCGUGUAGGACGAACAAUGAGCUCCAAAGCGACGCCUUCAGCAAGGGAACGACACCAUUGUGUCGCCACCGCCCAAUCCAAGGAUUAGAGUUUCCCCCGGAGCACUCCGAUGACAAAUGAGAUGCCGCGACGGCGCCUUCAAGAAGAGGACGACACUAGAACGCCGCUGCCGUCGGCCUGGCAAAGCAGAACGGGUUUUCACGACCGGCAGGGGCACCCUGCCCCUUCCCGAAGUCCCAUGCCACCACCGGCAGGCCUCGCGCGCACCACCACACCAUGGCGCCACCCCGACCCGACGAGCGCGUCGCUGAGUCCAAAGAAGAGGGAGGGAGCUCACCCGAGUUGCCACGCGCAUAUCAGACAACCACCAGGCCGCAGCAGCGCCGCUGCAGACCACCCCACUCCGAGGUCUAGACCGACCUCAGCCACCGUCCCGCGCCGCCCGCCGCCAUCCAGGAGCCGGAUCUAGGAGGGUUGGGCCGGAUCCGCGCUAGCACGCCACCGCCCAGAUCGGGAAUCCCAGCGGCCGUCACGCCACAAACGAGCCUACCACUCGACGUCGUGUCCCCACCAGGCAACCCCGCCGCCGAACUCCGAGCACGCCGCCGCGCCGCCGGCCCUGCCAAAGACCGGCGCCCCCACUCGACCGGCUGUCUCACGCCAGCCGCGGAGCACGAGGGCGAGGAAGAAGAGGCCCCGCCGCCGCCCCCACCGGCCGGGCUUCGCCCGACAGCGUCGCUGGGCGGCGGCGAGGGAGGAGAGCAGAGGAGAGGGAGGACGGGUCACGGCGGCUAGGGUUCCCCCCGGUCGCUCGCGAGAGCGACAUGGGAGGGGAGGGGAGAGGGAUUAUAUCCCGUGAUGCCCUGUACGUUUUGAGGGGAAAUGGGUACUUGGAUUUGGAUAUAUGAAACAAUCAAGCGCCUUUUCAAUCAUGAACAGAGAAACUGAAACACUAAUCAUUACUGAAAAAAAAAACCUAACCAUUACAAACGUAAUCCAAAACGAAUAUAUGAAGAAAAAAUGGAGAAAUUAAUCAAUUAGGCUGCUGCACACGGAUUAAUUGCUUGUUCAUCAUCAUAAUACAAUUAGCAAGACACCUUUUGUGCCAUGACAAUGACAUACAUCAAAGCUCAUCUAACGUGCACCGGAAGGCGUCGUCUUCAUCAUCUGCAGCGCUAGUGCCUUCUUGGACUUCGCCGUCGAGUUUGCCGGGCAAGAACCCCUGCGCCACCACAGCGUCAUGGAGCUCGGGAAAAUCUUGAAGCAUGUCGUCGGUGAAGAACCCGCCUGGAUCCACGCUGCCGUCGUCCACAGCUCCGGGCGGCAAGAACGUCUCGCCUUCGUCGGACAUGAACCAGCGCCCAUACUCGUGAAACAUCCCGGCUUGUUGGACGAUCGGCGGUUCCUGGCGGCGUGGGGUUUGGGGACGUGGAGCAUCGGGGUGCUGGACGUCGGCGGCCUUCCUUUUCCUGGAACCGGGAGCAUUGAUUACCUCGUCGUAUGUGGUCUCGCUCCUGUGACGAGACACGCAGACCUUGCAGAGCACCAAGCCGUCUUGCUUGUCAUCGCUGUACUCGUUCAUGCACCAGCCGAUCCUGAUCCUCUCUUUCUCUCCCGGCAACUUCUUGACGUAGCUGAGGUUUCGUCUAUGGCCUACGAGUUUACCUUGGUUGUCUAGCACGGGGAUCCCGCCCUUCUCCGAGUGCCAGUAGUAACCCUCGCCGGCGUCGGCCACGCCACGCUGUCGCCUCCCGCCACCGCGGCCGCCUUUGGUCUGGUGACGACGGGCAGGGGUGAAGAAGUACCAGACGCCCCCUUUCCCGUCGCCCUUGUCCGUUCCUUGCGCGUGUUGAUACAUCUCGACGAGGUCGCCGGGGGCGGCGGAGUAGGCGUCGAACUCGUGGAUGAGGCGCCUGGCGAAGAAGGCGUCGGCGAUCCGUGGGCGGAGGAAGUUGGUGAUCAGCUCGUGCUCGGCUGGGUCGAAGGCGUAGCCGGCGGGAGGAUCCAUCUACAUUGCUUAUAUAGAUGGAUCGACAGCGAGCCCGCCCGGGAUUCAGUUUCCUUGACCGGUCAUACGUACGUGUCCUAAGCAAUCCGUACAUGAAAUGGAUUAGUACAGCAAUCCGUACAUAAAAUGGACUAGUGCAGCACGCCCCAUGAUGCUCCGUCGCUGCACCGACCUUGCUCCAUUGCAGCUCGCGUCGCUGCACCUUGCCGCUAGGUAAUACUCAGCAUGCUUCGGCGGACAUGGUGAUGCUAUGAGGCGUGCUACAUCGACCGCCGCGAUGGUGCAACGUCAUCCGGGCUGCUUUGAUGAAGCUGCGACAGCCGCGGCGUUGACGUUUCGACAUGCUUCAAACACCCAUGGUGUGCUUUGACGGCCACGACAAUGCUUCAACGGCAGACUUCGACGGUCGCGGUGAUGCUACGGGGCGUGCUUCGACGACCAUGGCAAUGGUGCGGCAACAUGCUUCUAACGUCGGUGUUGUACUUGGAUGGCAGCGAUGAUGUUGUGACGACAUGGUUGGACAGCCACGACGUCCUGCUUCGACAACCAUGAUGAUGUUGCGGCAACGUGUUCCAGGGCCACGAAAGUGUUGCAAUGAUGGACAUGGCUGCACCAACGAUAAUGCAACGACUGCAGCGGUGUGGCAAUGGUGACCCGGCUGCUUCGAUGAUGCUACGAUGGCAUGCGUCGAAGAAGGUGGUGGCGUCAAUGGUGCUACUCUAAACAUUAGCAACCUUCACUUUCCACAAUCAGCAUCGAGAAAGAUGGUGUUCUAGUAUUUGUACCAUCACAUGUGUAGUUACCUAGCAAAAUCACUGCAUAUGGAGUACCUUAAAAAAGAUCAUUUAAAUAGGCAGUCGUCGAACGCUACCACAUGUCACGAACUUUGGAUACUUUUGCGUGUGGAAGACAGAGCAUUCGCUACCUUCCUGUGUGGGAGAUAGUGCUCGCGCCACACGAUCAUGUGGGAUCGGACGGCUCCGGACGUGAUUGAUAAAGACAAGAAAUCAUCCGACUUAUUUAAAACAUUUUCCCUCGCCGAAUGCUCACCUUUUACUCGCAAUGGCCACUUGUCGGUUACCCUGGUUGACGCAUUUCUGUUUGUUUGUGACUUUGCAGUGCUUUUGCUGCUUUAUUUGUUCUUUUAUAUAUUUUUACUGGCCUUUCUUAUUUUAUCAACUUAUGAUUAUUUUAUUAUAUUAUAAAAAAUAUGUCUGUUUUAUUCUAGGUAAUCCUUUUUAUUUGCACUAUUGACAGAAAUAGUUCGUAUUAAAAAGGUCCUUACUCAUUUCAAAAUAUAUAAUACGUUUGAAAUUUGUUUAUAUAUUCUAAAUAAAAUGUUCUUGUACUUUUGAAUAUGAUUUACCUAUUUCAAAAAAUAUUCAUUUAGUUCGUAAGAAAAAUCUUUUAUUCAAAACGAAAUUACAUGUAUUCGCAAAGAGUGUUCACGUAUUUCUAAAAAUGUCCAUGUAAUUAUUAAAGUAUUCUCACAUUUAAAAAUAUAUUCACAUAAGUUUGGAAAAUAAUCAUUUAGGACAUAAAAUAGAAAAUACACUUGAAUUUUUUUAUCGCGUAUUUAAGAAAAAUACUCAUCAUAUAUUAAAUAAAUUUCAUUGUGUAAAAAAAUAUUCAUCAUUUAUUUAAAAUACAUACGUUGUGUUUUUAAAAGGUCAUGUGUACUGUUAUUUUCUAAUUGCAUAAGUAAAAUAAGUAAGAAGAAAAUCACAGAAAAUAAAGAAAGAGAAAAAUGUGGGAAAAGAACAACAAAUAAUAGGGAAAUGAAAAAAGAGGCAAAGAUAAUUAAAAGAAUUCAAGAAAAAAAUUGAUUAAAAAACCCACAAGAAACUAGUCGAAAACAAGAAAAAAAGAUAAUAUCAUGAACAAAAAUUAGGCAGAUACACGAAGAAGAGAGCCAUGUGUUCAACGAACCUAAAAGUACCAGUACAUCGCAUGUGCGUAUCCGGCCAUGNNNNNNNNNNNNNNNNNNNNNNNNNNNNNNNNNNNNNNNNNNNNNNNNNNNNNNNNNNNNNNNNNNNNNNNNNNNNNNNNNNNNNNNNNNNNNNNNNNNNNNNNNNNNNNNNNNNNNNNNNNNNNNNNNNNNNNNNNNNNNNNNNNNNNNNNNNNNNNNNNNNNNNNNNNNNNNNNNNNNNNNNNNNNNNNNNNNNNNNNCACCCCCAGGACGUCCCCCACGACACCUUUUUAGGCUCGGCUUUAUGCUCGGACCACCUUUUUGCCGAAAAACGGCCCAGCAACGCCCCCAGCCCCCCACAGGACAUCAAAAUAGCGCCGGCAAACCCAGGAAAAACGCAGCACGUUGGGGGGCUUUUGGGGGCGCCGGCAGAAGUUUCGGCGAAUCAUGUCUCACCACAUGUCUUUUUUCUUGGCCCACUUAGUCAUUUUCCUCACAAACUUUUGAUUGGGGUGGGGUGAGGAUGAGAAGAUGCCCUCCUCAUGCACCCAUAUUUCGUCCGGAUGAAGCAUUUGGACCCCCAAGACACCUACUUUUUUGGUUCGGUGGUGUUCUUGGUGCUCCAACGGCUGGAGAUGCUCUAAUACUUGGUACAAUCGAUAUAUAUAUAUUAUUUGCCGCCCCGAAGCACGUCUAGUAAAAGAGUUUCUCAAGAAGGUUGCGCGAAUGUGUGAUAGCCCACCCUGAGAUCUCCCAACCUUCUAUAUAUAUUAUAGAAAAGAGUAAAAAAAGACAUGUUUAACCCUAAAACCGUACGAAAAGAUAGUUAUUGGCCAUCCUUGGCCUAAAAACGUGGAUCUGCCGCUGGUUUUUAAGGUAGCAAUGCCUACUGAAGCUGUCCGUCUAUUAUUAAGCGUAAAUUAAAUACUUGAGUAAUUAAAAAUUGGAUAAUGCCAUCAGUGUGUUUUGACGCAAGCUAGAAGGUAGAGUAUUUUUAAAGUUAAAUAUACAUGUAUCAAGUAACCGGUGCAGCUAGACUCGCAUGAUCGAGAUAAACAUUUAUUUUGUAACCCUACCAAGUAAUUAAUAAACGAAUACAUUUGCUAAGGAUUACAGUAAUUCUAAUGCACAGACGGUUGAAGUUUUUAUUUUCUUUUUAAAUUGUAGUUUUGUUAUUUAUUUAUCGAGGUAUUCAUUUAUAUUUUGUUAUUUUUAUAUGCAUAAUCACGACAAAAAGCCACAACUCCGCGUGCACUAUGUCACCUCCCUCUGUUAAGCCCCUAUUCCCUCACUCAUUCAUUCAAACUAGAUGACACCCCGCACGUUGUUGCGGGAACUGUUGUAGGAAAAUGGGAUAUGUUAGACAAAUGAAAUAUAAAUAAUUUGGAUAUGCUUUCAGCCAUAUCGUUUCUUGGCUAAAUUAAAACCAUUUCAUGAGAUUGAACAAUGCAGAACUGGCUAGAAAAAAUACAUAACAUUUCCUUUAAAAAAUAUUAACAUUAGUGGUUUCAGUUCCCACUGGCAAAAUAUCGUGGCCCUGACAAACAUUUGUGCAUCGAAUUGCCCACAAAGAAUAAAAAAAUAUAGCACAAAUCAAAUUGGCAUUGGAGAUUUGCUUCAGAUGUGGUAAUGAUUGUUCUUAUGUGCCCGCAUCAUAACUCACUACUUAUCGUCAUGUUGAAGAAAACAAACAAUCACCUCCAUUAAUAGGAACUGAGUGCUGGCACUUGAAAAGUGGGAAAAAUAAUAGUGUGUAAGAGUUGAUGACAGCGAGAACAUAAAUUGCCAAUUCAGUUUGUCCCAUAAUUUCUGCACAUAAAAAGCCGAACCACUCCUACAUUUAGUGAAGGCAACAUUAUACAACAAUUAGCAUGAAAAAAAUCAUGAUGAAAUAAAAUGGUGAUGCAAUUUUGACUUCAUAAGGCAAGACCAUUCAAGGGAGAAAUCUUUUGAACAUAGCACGAUGAUGAUCUUUUGGUCAAUAACUGAACAUGACAAUUCAUAAGCAUAUUAUGCAUUCAAUAUUCUAUUCUAGAUAAUAUUUUAAGUCUGAAAUAUCCAUGGUUUGGGAAGUCAGGAUGACCUGUUCCAAAACAAAGGCAUGUACGUAAACCGAACAAAUAUGAAAAUGAAGAGAGAAUGGUGAAGUAUAUAUCUUACUGAUUCCGCAAAGGUGAACGUAAUUAGAUCAAAGGUGUUGAACUGAAGUAGUUAUAUAAGGGUCAAAGGAUAAAAAUCAAUAAGGAAAAUUAAAGGAGGGCAUGUUCUUAUGUAUAUAGAAUUGAAUGAAGAUUUGCUUCAGAGGUGGUAAUGAUUCUUCUUAGUUGCCCACGCCAUAGUACUAUUUU